rnacentral:rRNA from 1 species
UACGUAGGGUGCAGGCGUUAAUCGGAAUUACUGGGCGUAAAGCGUGCGCAGGCGGUUUGCUAAGACAGGUGUGAAAUCCCCGGGCUUAACCUGGGAACUGCGCUUGUUACUGGCAGGCUUGAGUGUGGCAGAGGGGGGUGGAAUUCCACGUGUAGCAGUGAAAUGCGUAGAGAUGUGGAGGAACACCGAUGGCGAAGGCAGCCCCCUGGGCUAACACUGACGCCUCAUGCACGAAAGCGUGGGGAGCAAACAGGG